rnacentral:tRNA from 1 species
UUGUCGCUUGAACAGGCGCGUUGAGCAUCGUGUCCUUGGCAUGGACGUGAUAGACGGCCUCGCCGAGUGCUUCGGCGGCGACGAG